GACGAACGCUGGCGGCGUGCCUAACACAUGCAAGUCGAACGGUAUCAUAUGAGCAGCAAUGUGAGGAUGGUAUAGUGGCGGACGGGUGAGUAACGCGUGAGCAACCUGCCUUCAAGAGGGGGACAACAGCUGGAAACGGCUGCUAAUACCGCAUAAGACCACACUGCCGAUGGCAGAGGGGUCAAAGGAGCAAUCCGCUUGAAGAGGGGCUCGCGUCCCAUUAGCUAGUAGGUAGGGUAACGGCCUACCUAGGCGACGAUGGGUAACCGGGCUGAGAGGCUGAACGGUCACACUGGGACUGAGACACGGCCCAGACUCCUACGGGAGGCAGCAGUGGGGAAUAUUGGGCAAUGGGGGAAACCCUGACCCAGCAACGCCGCGUGAAGGAAGAAGGUUUUCGGAUUGUAAACUUCUGUCGCAGGGGACGAAAAAAAUGACGGUACCCUGUGAGGAAGCCCCGGCUAACUACGUG
rnacentral:rRNA from 1 species